GGCAGCUCUGUUGUGGAUGAGGACACAUAAUAAGGUCUGUGGCCUUUUCUCUCAUUUUCUAGUUGCUUCAUCUCUUUAGGAAGAAUGCAGAUGAAACAGAGCAACCCCAUAUGGGCAGGCACCGCAGUAUCCUGCUAUCAAUGGACAAGAGAGAAAAACUCCUGGAUUAUUCUCUAUUCCUUAUGUGGAACUCUACCUGCCGAUGGAAGCCGUGAUACCCAAUCCCCCAUCAUCUCUUAUGAACAUGAACAGCUGAUCUGACAAAUGAUGUCUUACCCACAGGCCUGCAUCCUGAUGUGUAUAUUAUCUGGAUCCCAUCUAAACCUUUUAAUUAAGUAUGUGACCAAGUGAAUUCCCGAGAGUGGGGGGAGGAGAGAGAAGAAGGAGGAUGUAAUCAGUCCCACCUAAAAAGGACAUUUUUUUUGGUGACUUUUAUUUUAUUUGAAAGAUUUGUUUUCCUCGCUCUCUUUUCACUUUAAUGCAUUACAAAUGUAUUUACUAAUUUGGUAUUUGAGUAAAGUCACCCCG
rnacentral:lncRNA from 1 species